rnacentral:rRNA from 1 species
GACGAACGCUGGCGGCGUGCCUAAUACAUGCAAGUAGGACGCAGUUGCGAACGGGUGAGUAAGGAGUAGGUCACUACCUAUUAGAGGGGGAUAACUAUUGGAAACGAUAGCUAAUACCGCAUACUAGUAGAUGGAGCUGCGUUGUAUUAGCAAGUAGGUAGGGUAAUGGCCUACCUAGGCAACGAUACAUAGCCGACCUGGGAGGGUGGUCGGCCAACCUGGGACUGGGACACGGCCCAGGCUCCUUCGGGAGGCAGCAGUAGGGAAUCUUCGGCAAUGGGGGGAACCCUGACCGAGCAACGCCGGGGGAGUGAAGGAGGUGUUCGGAUCGUAAAGCUCUGUUGUUAAGGAAGCGGUACUUAACCAGAAAGGGACGGCUAACUACGUGCCAGCAGCCGCGGUAAUUC